UACAGAGGUCCCAAGCGUUGUUCGGAAUCACUGGGCUUAAAGGGCGCGUAGGCGGGCUGCCGCGUCCGGGGUGAAAUCCUCCGGCUCAACCGGAGAACGGCCCCGGGUACGGGCGGCCUCGAGGGGGGUAGGGGCGGGCGGAACUGUGGGUGGAGCGGUGAAAUGCGUAGAUAUCAGGAGGAACACCGGUGGCGAAGGCGGGUCUCUGGGCCGAUACUGACGCUGAGGAGCGAAAGCGUGGGGAGCGAACAGG
rnacentral:rRNA from 1 species